UUGUUGUUUAAUUUUAUCUUUCCAUUUCAUUGACACACAAAUGCAUUAGCAGUCACUCGCAGCUAUAAGUACAACGAGCAACACAUAGCAGCCAUAAUCUUAGAAGAAAGAGAGAUCCACUAGUAAAAGAGAUGGAAACUUACCUAAUUACAUCAAUCAUCUUUAGUAAAACUCUUCGAGCCUUCUUUUCCUCUGUGAGUUCUUCAUCAGUUCCUCGAACCUCUCCACACAAUUUCUAAUCAAGUCGGUCUUUUAAUCGAGCUAAUGGGCACUCCUGCGUCACCAAAUCUCGACGACUACUCAGCCGCUUCUACAGUCAUCACGUUCGACCGUCCGCUCCCCUUGCUCCGCGGGCCCAUCCAUGCUGGCCCCGCUGACGAUCCCACUGCCGGGCCAUACCUCCUCGCAUUCCGGGACUCCCGAGCCUGGACCUCCGCGCUCCAAGCCUGCAAGUCCAAAAUCGUCCAGCAGUGCGAAAGCGGGGCAAGAGUCGGGUGCGCCCUCGCGGCGUCCGAUAAAUGCAAACCCCCCUGGUGGCGCGCAGUGAUCGGCCGGAAACCGACGGAUCUAAGAGAACGAGAGCUGUGCGAGGAGCGAGAAAUGCAGGGUUGUUUCGUGACGGCGAAGGAGAAGUGCGUCGGGUUCGCGAGGGACAAGUGUGCGACGCCUUUCCGAGAUGCGCGGAUUGCCGUCAGGGAAAGGCGGGUGAUUCCGAAGGACCUUGGGAAGUUAAUUUAUUUGGCGUCGGUCCUGGAUAGGAGUACGUGGGUUGAUUUGAUUCUAUUAGAUCAAUUGAAUUCGCGGGCUUUAGCUCCAACGAAUUAUAGGGCGAGUGAAUUGCUCGGCUCUGAUCCUGAAUGUUUUGAAGUAGGUGGUGGCGGAAAAAUCAGAAACGCUGCUCUUGAAGCUGGUCCGAUGCAGAGGAACUGAAAAUGGAUUAGCAGCCAACCUAUAAGCACGAAGCUUGUUGCCUCUAUGGUUCUCCACUUUUUGCAGCAUUAGAUUCCAGAAGGUGUUGAACUUGAUCCUCCUCUGUGACGGGCAUAACUAGGUGCACUGCUGGUGAGCCAUUCCUGGCAUUGGAGUCCACCCUUUAUCUCUGGUACCGUAAAUAAUCAUUGUUAUGGGUCCUUUUUGAAAAAACAUUAUCUCGUGCAUUCAUUCAUUCCUAAUAUAAUGUACCCUUUCCUUUUCCUUUCAUCUUUCUGUCUUUCAUUCCUUUAAUAUAUAAUGAUACAAUACGUAUAUGAUGGCAAGUAAAAGCAUACAAUUCAUUCCAUUACAUUUAUCAUGUUAUAUAAUAAUGAUAGGGUACAUUGACUUCUUACUUAUCAAAAUAAUAAUAAUGAUAGGGUACGUGUAUCAAGGGCUUCCAAUGAACAGUCUAUGCAUAGUAUAUCUUUCAAAACACGUACAUAUCAUAUAGUUUAGCUAAAAGAGCAUUUUUGUUUACAAAAAUAGCUAGAAGGGUAUGAUCAUAGUUGCUUAUCACUUAGUUUUGUGCAAACAAUCAACAAUCACAUCAGCGAGCACCUAUAUAAAUCACACACACACACACACAUAUAUAUAUAUAUAUCAUAAUGUCAAUUUCUAUCUAAACCAUGAUCCUUUAAACUAGAAGACAGAUCAUGCCCUUGGCAUGUAAAAGAAACACAUGGUGUGCUAUAAUAUGCUCAAUGGUGUGUCAAAGUGUCUGUUCUAUGGUUUAAUGUUAUUCUGUCCAUUCACUAA